UGGGGAAUUUUGGACAAUGGGCGAAAGCCUGAUCCAGCCAUGCCGCGUGAGUGAAGAAGGCCUUCGGGUUGUAAAGCUCUUUUAGUCGGAAAGAAAGAGUUGCAAUGAAUAAUUGUGAUUUAUGACGGUACCGACAGAAAAAGCACCGGCUAACUACGUGCCAGCAGCCGCGGUAAUACGUAGGGUGCGAGCGUUAAUCGGAAUUACUGGGCGUAAAGGGUGCGCAGGCGGUCUUGCAAGUCAGAUGUGAAAGCCCCGGGCUUAGCCUGGGAAUUGCGUUUGAAACUACAAGGCUAGAGUGCAGCAGAGGGGAGUGGAAUUCCAUGUGUAGCAGUGAAAUGCGUAGAGAUGUGGAAGAACACCGAUGGCGAAGGCAGCUCCCUGGGUUGACACUGACGCUCAUGCACGAAAGCGUGGGGAGCAAACA
rnacentral:rRNA from 1 species